rnacentral:rRNA from 1 species
UACGUAGGGGGCAAGCGUUGUCCGGAUUUAUUGGGCGUAAAGAGCGUGUAGGCGGCCGUACAGGUCAGCUGUGAAAACUCGAGGCUCAACCUCGAGACGUCGGUUGAAACCGUACGGCUAGAGUCCGGAAGAGGAGAGUGGAAUUCCUGGUGUAGCGGUGAAAUGCGUAGAUAUCAGGAGGAACACCGGUGGUGCAGACGGCUC